GAUGAACGCUGGCGGCGUGCCUAAUACAUGCAAGUCGAGCGAACAGAUGAGGAGCUUGCUCCUCUGACGUUAGCGGCGGACGGGGGAGUAACACGUGGAUAACCUACCUAUAAGACUGGGAUAACUUCGGGAAACCGGAGCGAAUACCGGCUAAUAUAUCGAACCUCAUAUGUCAAUAGUGGAAGACGGGUUUUCUGGAACAUAUAGAUGGAUCCGCGCCGCAUUAGCUAGUUGGUAAGGUAACGGCUUACCAAGGCAACGAUGCGUAGCCGACCUGAGAGGGUGAUCGGCCACACUGGACCUGAAACACGGUCCAGACUCCUACGGGAGGAAGCAGUAGGGAAUCUUCGGCAAUGGGGGAAAGCCUGACGGAGAACCGCCGCGUGAGUGAUGAAGGUCUUCGGAUCGUAAAACUCUGUUAUUAGGGAAAAACAAAUGUGUAAGUAACUAUGCACGUCUUGACGGUACCUAAUCAGAAAGCCACGGCUAACUACGUG
rnacentral:rRNA from 1 species